rnacentral:rRNA from 1 species
AGUGAACGCUGGCGGCGUGCUUAACACAUGCAAGUCGAACGAGAACGGAAUAUAGCUUGCUAUAUUUGUCAGCUAAGUGGCGCACGGGUGAGUAAUGUAUAGAUAACCUGCCCCUAAGAAAGGAAUAACAGUUGGAAACGACUGCUAAUGCCCUAUAUGCCUUUAAUACAUAAGUAUGCAAGGGAAACGCUUUAGUGCUUAAGGAUGGGUCUGUAUGGUAUCAGCUUGUUGGUGAGGUAAUGGCUCACCAAGGCUAUGACGCCUAACUGGUUUGAGAGGAUUAUCAGUCACACUGGAACUGAGACACGGUCCAGAGUCCUACGGGAGGCAGCGGUGGGGAAUAUUGCACAAUGGACGAAAGUCUGAUGCAGCAACGCCGCGUGGAGGAUGACACAUUUCGGUGCGUAAACUCCUUUUAUAUAGGAAGAUAAUGACGGUACUAUAUGAAUAAGCACCGGCUAACUCCGUGCCAGCCGCCGCCGUAA